rnacentral:rRNA from 1 species
GAACGCUGGCGGCAUGCCUAACACAUGCAAGUCGAACCGUUAUUACUUCGGUGAUCUUACUGGCGAACGGGUGAGUAACGCGUGGGCAACCUGCCCUCUACAUGGGGACAACCUCCCUAAAGGGGAGCUAAUACCGAAUGUGACAACAAUCUCGCAUGGGGAUGCUGUGAAAGAUGGCCUCUAUUUAUAACCUAUCGCUAGAGGAUGGGCCUGCGUCUGAUUAUCUAGUUGGUGGGGUAACGGCCUACCACGGCGAUGAUCAGUAGCCGGUCUGACAGGAUGAACGGCCACAUUGGGACUGAGACACAGCCCAGACUCCUACUGCAGGCAGCAGUGGGGAAUCUUCCGCAGUGGGCGAAAGCCUGACGGAGACAGUGCCGCGUGAGUGAUGAAGGAAUUCGCUCCGUAAAGCUCUUUUGUUUAUGACGAAUGUGCAAGUUGUGAAUAAUGACUUGUAAUGACGGUAUUAAACGAAUAAGCCACGGCUAACUACCUGCCAGCAGCCGCGGUAAUACGUAUGUGGGGAGCGUUGUCCGGAAUUAUUGGGCGUAAAGAGCAUGUAUGCGGUUUUUUAACUCUGGAGUGGAAAUGCCCCGCUCAUCCCCGUAUGGCUCUGGAUACUGGAAGACUUGAGUGCAAGAGAGGAAAGGAGAAUUCCCAAUGUAGCGAUGAAAUGCGUAGAUAUUGGGAGGAACACCAGUGGCGAAUGCGCCUUUCUGGACUGUGUCUGACGCUGAGAUGCGAAAGCCAGGGUAGCGAACGGGAUUAGAUACCCCGGUAGUUCUGGCCGUAAAUGAUGGGUACUAGGAGUAGGAGGUAUUGACUCUUUCUGUGCCGGAGUUAAGGCAAUAAGUACCCCGCAUGGGGAGUUCGUCCGCAAGGAUGAAACUCAAAGGAAUUGACGGGGGCGCGCACAAGCGGUGGAGUAUGUGGUUUAAUUCGACGCAACGAGAAGAACGUUACCAAGGCUUGACAUUGAAUGACCGCUUCAGAGAUGAAGCUUUCCUUUCGGGGACAUGAUAACAGGUGGUGCAUGGCUGUUGUCAGCUUGUGUUGUGAGAUGUUGGGUUAAGUAUCGCAACGAGCGCAACCCCUAUAUUAUGUUACCAGCGGGUAAUGCCGGGGACUCAUAGGAGCCUUCCAAGGACAACUUGGAGGAAGGCGGGGAUGAAGUCAAGUCAUCAUGCCCCUUAUGUUUUGGGCUACACUCGUGGUACAAUGGUCGGCAACAGAGGGAAGAGAAACCGUGAGGCAGAGCAAACCCCAGAAACCUGAUAUCAGUUGGGAUCGCAGGGUGCAACUGGCUUGAGUGAAGUUGGAAUAGGUAGUAAUCGCAGGUCAGCAUAAUGCGGAGAAUACGUUCCCGGGCGCUUGUACACUCCGCCCGUCACACCACGAAAGUUGGUAACACCCGAAGCCG